rnacentral:ncRNA from 2 species
GUCUAUCUUCGGGGCAGGGUGAAAUUCCCGACCGGCGGUGAUGGGUCAUUCUUGACUUAAGCCCGCGAGCCUGAAAGCAGAGUUUUUGAAUAGAAACCUUUGCGGUUAAUUUGGGCAGGAUUUGGUGCGAUUCCAAAGCCGACAGUACAGUCUGGAUGGGAGAAGAUGGAG